AUUGAACGCUGGCGGAAUGCCUUACACAUGCAAGUCGAACGGCAGCACGGGGCAACCUGGUGGCGAGUGGCGAACGGGGGAGUAAUACAUCGGAACGUGCGCAGUCGUGGGGGAUAACGUAGCGAAAGCUACGCUAAUAUCGCAUACGAUCUAUGGAUGAAAGCGGGGGACCGUAAGGCCUCGCGCGAUUGGAGUGGCGGAUGGCAGAUUAGGGAGUUGGUGGGGUAAAGGCUCACCAAGCUUGCGAUCUGUAGCUGAUCUGAGAGGACGACCAGCCACACUGGGACUGAGACACGGCCCAGACUCCUACGGGAGGCAGCAGUGGGGAAUUUUGGACAAUGGGCGCAAGCCUGAUCCAGCCAUUCCGCGUGCAGGAUGAAGGCCUUCGGGUUGUAAACUGCUUUUGUACGGAACGAAAAGCCUUUUUCUAAUACAAGAAGGUCAUGACGGUACCGUAAGAAUAAGCACCGGCUAACUACGUGCCAGCCGCCGCCGUAA
rnacentral:rRNA from 1 species